rnacentral:rRNA from 1 species
UACGGAGGGAGCUAGCGUUGUUCGGAAAUACUGGGCGUAAAGCGCACGUAGGCGGCGCAGCAAGUCAGGGGUGAAAUCCCGGGGCUCAACCCCGGAACUGCCCUUGAAACUGCAGUGCUAGAAUUCUGGAGAGGCGAGUGGAAUUCCGAGUGUAGAGGUGAAAUUCGUAGAUAUUCGGAAGAACACCAGUGGCGAAGGCGACUCGCUGGACAGACAUUGACGCUGAGGUGCGAAAUCGUGGGGAGCAAACAGG